UUAGAUACUUCAAAUAUUAUAUUUGGUAAAAAAUUAAUAAAAACUUUUAUUCAAAAUGGUUUUCCCUCUUAUAAGAAGCAAGUGAUAUAAAAAACUAAAAUAAAUAAAGUUCCUUUAUUAUUAAUUGCUCUAAAAAUAUUUAUAAAUGGCUUCUCCAAAGUUCUUUUCCAUGUCCUUUUCACAUUUUCUCUUUUUUCUUGCUAUUUGUUUUACUGUCUUCAUAUGUGUUCUUAUGAUGUUUUCAAUUCUUAGCGAGAUGAACAAAGAAAACAAUACAAUUAUCUUUAAAAACAAAAGGUUCUCCCUAGAAGACGAAUCGAUAAAUUUGUGGAGCGAAAAAUCAAUUUGUUGUGCAUGUAUCAAAGAAUUGAAGGAACGUCUUGAAAAGUUGUAUACGGAGUUUGAUCAACUACAAAUGGAGUAUGAAAAAUUGACAAAUUUUGUCAAAUAAUGUAAAGACAGUUGCUGAUGAAAAGUAGAGUUUAUAACCAAAGAUUUCUAGUGUGGCCUUAAUGCUUCAGCUCAUGCCAUGGAAAAAAAAGGUUGGGUUUUAUUAAAAUAAAAAGUAAUUGUAGUUUUCUCUUUGAAAAAUCUUAUUGUAUUAGCAAUGUUUUUUUUUUUCAUUUCAUUGCUAUCAUGGUUUGUACCGGAGUCGUUCAAUAUUUAACUUUGCUGAAAUGUAUUAUAAGUUAUCUCAUAA